GGACGUCCAUCCGCGUGGUUAGUGGCACUCCUCUGUUUAUCCACCUUCAACCUUGGUAGGGAGCUGCAACCUGAGAUCAUUGUUGGGGGAAAGAAAGGGAGAAGGGUUAUGCUGGCACCGAGCCCACUCAGUGAUUUCACCCAGCAGGCCUCUUGCUCAACACGGUCUGCCUGAAGCUAGUCUUUGCUUAUCCCCACCGCUGCUCCCAAGGCUUUGGAAAACACUCUUCGCUUUUCUGUACUGCGUGAAAGAGCAUCUCUCAGCGUUCCACUGCCGUCCCUUGCUCGCACCCCUCCCUCUCCCACCCCCCAUGGUCUGUUCAUCAUUCAUCUGGAGCCGUCUCUCUGGUUCUCACCACUCCCUCUUCUGUGGGCAUGUCGGUUGUUUUAAACAAAAAAAGAGAAGUGAUCGCACAGUGUGCCUUUCUCGCUCAAUAUUUUAUUGGGGGAAAAAUUCCCCAACUGCUACUAAAGAUCUUCAAUAUAUCACUCCUCUUGGUUGUAAAGUAUUUAUUACAGUAUUCUAUCGUGGGCCAUAAUUUGCUUCACUAGCUCCUAUUUUCUGACAUUUAGGGUGUUGUAAAAAUUAUACCAUCACAGUAAUGCUACAGUGAACCUCAUUUGAUGUGAAUCUUGGCACAUCACCAAGAUCAUCUUGGCACGGGCUGAUCAACACCCUCACUGGGUAUAGAAGAGGAUAAGAAGCAAGCCUUGUCCUGUUAAGCCACUGAAGCCAGGGGCUGUUUGGUACCAGCUGUGUCUCAUGGUUGGCUAACAACGAGCCUGAAGAAGCUCCAACUUGGGAAUCUACAUACCAGCAUUUCGGGGAGACCCAGGCUUGCUCUGCACCCACUCUUCUGUGCAUUUCAGUAUCACAGCCCCAUUGGUCCAGGCCAUGUGGCCCUGCCUGCCUGAAGACUGAAUUAGUCCAUGUGUCUAUGGAACAGAGGCGAGCAAGCAGG
rnacentral:lncRNA from 1 species